AUUAAAGCUUAAUGCUUACAAAACUCUUCAUAUCUAAAUACAGAAGACAGUAUAUACAUGUUAUGUAGAUCUGUUCUCUCAGAUAACCAGUUCUCCACAGCACUUUGAAAUGCUGUUUCAGCUAAUGGACAAGUGAAAUAACAAAGGUUCUUCAAAGCACAGAGAUGAAGACUACACAUCCAGAAACAGCUCGUGCAGAGCACAUUUGCUUAGUAACAGAUGUCACUGUGAAAGCAUCACCCUUUAUCACUACAUUGAAAAUCACAGAAUGAAGAAUUAUUUCAUAGUAUUCCUAUCCAUGAACAGGAUCCAUAGUCACCACAUGGUCACCAUCACAAGGAACCCCUCAUCUCCAGGGGUUGUGAGAAGUGCCUGCUGUGUAGGCAGUGGGACUUCUAGGAGCUCUGACCUACUAGGCCUCCAGAAGGCACAUGUGGACAGAGGAAAGUAGCUGUAUUGUAGCACAGGUACCAAUCAUCUUUGGAAAUACCAGCCUCAGUAGGCACUGGCAAACCCUCCAAAAUCUCAAUAGUUGGUCCCCCUACCCUCCACAGUGGGGAAGUGUGCUGAUGGGAAAUCACUGUCAUCUUCUUCCUCAUCAAA